GAUAGUGGUUAUUACAGUCAAGGUCGAAGGUGAUGUUGUCAUGAAGAUGGGUGUGGAGAGGAGGUGGUUGUUGGUGGUGGGUAAGAGUUGUGGGAAAGAUGGAGGAAGCACUGGCGAUUUGAUGAGGCGAUUCCGAUUCUAGGCGUUCCGUGUGACGUUGUGAGUAUGAAACUGGUGGUCGGUAGGCACGGGUGGUCAUCAACGAGGUAUCAGUUAAUACUCUAUCUCAGUUUUUAAAUCGCAAAUUAUGUUUAUGGAGAUUAUUAUAAGCAUUGCUAUGAAGUUUAUGUAUGUUUAGUUUACUAUAAAGUUGUUUAGUGAUGUAGGAAGUAGGAUCUCACAAAAAUGUUUCAGUUUCUGUAUGAUUUUCAUAGAUCUUUAACAUGAGGUAGAAGUAUUGUGAAUUUGUGAUAUUAUCGGUUUAGUUUAAUGUGUGUUCUUUGUUGUUUGCUGGCAGUAUUCUUGUGAAUUUGUGCACUUGAGCAGUUUUUACCAAUAAGGCUCUAACAUAGCUCGGUUUUGUAACCGCGAGCAUGGCGGUGUUUUACUAGUUUGAUUUAGAUUAUAUUGUUUUAGAAUACAAUUAUUUUUAUGUUUUGUGUUUGGUAUAACUGCAAUUCAUUAAUUGUGAAAUUCUCUUGGAUCUUCUUCUCUUGUACAGUAGACGGCUCUUGAAUAACAUGGUUUUGGUGUUUGAACUUUACUAGUAGUAGAUUACUUGUAUAUCAUGUGGCAUGUUGUAUGUAUUUACUUAAUUAAUUUGACUUGAUGCCUAUAAUACAAAGUUCAGGGAGUGAGUUAUCUGAAUGAUGAUAGUCGGCCAAGGUAGUUAAAGCAAAGGGGUCAUAAAUUAGUGUAUCUUUGUUAGCCUUGGAAUCAAUUAACUGGUAUCUUGCAUUUUGAGAGACUUCAUUGGGUAUAUUGAUCAGUGAGCCCAACCCACUAACCUUUCUUGAUCCGUUUCCCAACUUACAUGUUUGCUACCUUUAAGCAGCAACACCUGCAAUUACUAACCUCAAAGAUAGUUCAAAUAAGUGGGACUUCAAAGUGGUGAUGGUGACUGUGGAUCAACAUUCUUUCAUACUACGUUGUCAAAGGCGCAUAGGUCUCAUCCCGGUAAAAUAAAAUAAAAUAACCGAACUAUUGUCUUUGCUGUUUGUUUUAAAUUAACAGUUUCCUGGAAAAAUGGGGAAAGGAUAUUUACAUAUCUACUUUAAUUGUUAAUUAACAAAUGAUUGAAUGGAAUUGGUGCUAUUUAUAGGAUGAAAAUGACGAACUUCAUCGCUCCCCUGGGACUCCAGUGUUCACUGCUCCUGAAUGUUGUCUAGGCCUAAUUUAUCACGACAAAGCUGCUGACACAUGGGACGAUAUCCUUUUCUUGGGGACACACUACAAGAUACGUAUGAUAAGAGCAAAGGGUGGUUCAGUUCCUUUUGAGGAAGCUUUAGCUACCAGACUUGAUCUAUUCAAGCCUUCACCAUCAACCCAAUUUUAUCUUGAGAAGCGACCCCUAAGGCUUUUUUUUCUACCAUAAAAAUUGGUGGUUAUUUGAUAUCUGAAGGUUUUUGUCAAACGAUCAAUCCAUGCAUAUUUGUUUUGUUGAGGAGUUGUUUAUAUGAUAAUAAUGAUGAGGGUUGUGACAUGGCUACAAUAUAUAUAAAUACAAUUGGAGGUGAUGGUUUCGUUGAGGGGCUAAGAGACAUCAAAACUGCCACCAGUUACAAGUUUACUCAUCACCAGAACAGAAACAAGGUAGCCCAUGGAUGCAAAUUUGUAGCACUUUCAAGUCCAAAUGCAGUGUGUAAAUGGACUUAAAGAAAACAACAUAGAAAUAGCUCUUAGUUUUUCUGUAGUACAUAUGUUUCCUUUUGCAACUUUUGUAGAUGCUUUUGAUUAGAAGUUUGUCUUCCAUUAGUAUUUAAAUUGAAAACUUAUGUAUGGAUUUUUGGUUAUUAUAGUUAAUUUCAUUUGU
rnacentral:lncRNA from 1 species